AUGAUAAGAUGUGCUUGCUUCCCCUUCACUUUCCGACUUGAUCGUAAGUUUCCCAGCCAGGCUUCCUGUACAGCUUGUGGAACUACUAACCAAUAUAAUUAGCCAAUUAACAAAAAGAAAAGAAAAGAAAAGAAAAGAAAAAGAAGCCACGUGUUUUUAUUUGGAGAUGAGAGCAUCCAGUUUCACAUCACUACUGAACACAUGUUUGCUGCAGUUUACUAGAGGUCCACUUCAGACCCUCUUUGCCUGGGUAUCACCAGUGGAGGCUGCAGAACAGCCAAGAUUGCUGCCUGCUUCUUCCUCUGGAAGCUUCGUCCCAGAGGGACACCAGGCUGAUGCCAGCUGGAGCUCUCCUGUAUGAGGUGUCUGUCAGUCCCUGCUGGGAGGUCUCUCCCAGUCAGGAGGCUUGGGGGAUCAGGGACCCACUUGAGGAGGCAGUCUGUCCCUUAGCAGAGCUUGAGCACUAUGCUGGGAGAAUACUCCUUGUCAGGAUCAGCUGCUCUCUUCAGAGCCAGCAGGCAGGAAAGUUUAAGUCUGCUGAAGCUGUCCCCACAGCCGCCCCUUCCCCCAGGUGCUCUGUCCCAGGGAGAUGGGAGUUUUAUCUAUAAGCCCCUGACUGGCAUUUCUUUCAGAGAUGCCCUGCUGAGUGACGAGGAAUCCAGAGAGGCAGUCCGGCCACAGCCACUUUGCCACGCUGUGUUGAGUUCUGCCCAGUCCAAACUUCCAGGCCCCCUUAGCACUAUCAGGGGAAAACCACCUACUCAAGCC
rnacentral:lncRNA from 1 species